rnacentral:rRNA from 1 species
GCUGGCGGCGUGCCUAAUACAUGCAAGUAGAACGCUGAAGAGAGGAGCUUGCUCUUCUUGGAUGAGUUGCGAACGGGUGAGUAACGCGUAGGUAACCUGCCUUGUAGCGGGGGAUAACUAUUGGAAACGAUAGCUAAUACCGCAUAACAAUGGAUGACUCAUGUCAUUUAUUUGAAAGGGGCAAAUGCUCCACUACAAGAUGGACCUGCGUUGUAUUAGCUAGUAGGUGAGGUAACGGCUCACCUAGGCGACGAUACAUAGCCGACCUGAGAGGGUGAUCGGCCACACUGGGACUGAGACACGGCCCAGACUCCUACGGGAGGCAGCAGUAGGGAAUCUUCGGCAAUGGGGGCAACCCUGACCGAGCAACGCCGCGUGAGUGAAGAAGGUUUUCGGAUCGUAAAGCUCUGUUGUAAGUCAAGAACGAGUGUGAGAGUGGAAAGUUCACACUGUGACGGUAGCUUACCAGAAAGGGACGGCUAACUACGUGCCAGCAGCCGCGGUAAUACGUAGGUCCCGAGCGUUGUCCGGAUUUAUUGGGCGUAAAGCGAGCGCAGGCGGUUUGAUAAGUCUGAAGUUAAAGGCUGUGGCUCAACCAUAGUUCGCUUUGGAAACUGCCAAACUUGAGUGCAGAAGGGGAGAGUGGAAUUCCAUGUGUAGCGGUGAAAUGCGUAGAUAUAUGGAGGAACACCGGUGGCGAAAGCGGCUCUCUGGUCUGUAACUGACGCUGAGGCUCGAAAGCGUGGGGAGCGAACAGGAUUAGAUACCCUGGUAGUCCACGCCGUAAACGAUGAGUGCUAGGUGUUGGAUCCUUUCCGGGAUUCAGUGCCGCAGCUAACGCAUUAAGCACUCCGCCUGGGGAGUACGACCGCAAGGUUG